CCCAGACUCCUACGGGAGGCAGCAGUGGGGAAUAUUGCACAAUGGGGGAAACCCUGAUGCAGCGAUGCCGCGUGAAGGAAGAAGUAUUUCGGUAUGUAAACCUCUCUCAGCAGGGAAGAAAAUGACGGUACCUGACUAAGAAGCCCCGGCUAACUACGUGCCAGCAGCCGCGGUAAUACGUAGGGGGCAAGCGUUAUCCGGAAUUACUGGGUGUAAAGGGUGAGUAGGCGGCAUGGUAAGCCAGAUGUGAAAGCCUUGGGCUUAACCCGAGGAUUGCAUUUGGAACUAUCAAGCUAGAGUACAGGAGAGGAAAGCGGAAUUCCUAGUGUAGCGGUGAAAUGCGUAGAUAUCAGGAGGAACACCGGCGGCGAAGGCGGCCUGCUGGACCGUGACUGACGUUGAGGCUCGAGAGCGUGGGGAGCAAACAGGAUUAGAUACCCGAGUACA
rnacentral:rRNA from 1 species